GCUCAGAGCGAACGUUAGCGGCGGGCUUAACACAUGCAAGUCGAACGAGAAUGUGGGAGCAAUCCUUCUAGUACAGUGGCGGACGGGUGCGUAACACGUGGACAAUCUACCUUCUGGCGGGGGACAACAGUUCGAAAGGACUGCCAAUACCGCGUACGUCGGCGAGGGAUCAGGCUCCUGCCGAGAAAGAUGGCCAAUCCUUGGAAGCUGUCACCAGAAGAUGAGUCCGCGGCCCAUCAGCUAGUUGGUGAGGUAACGGCUCACCAAGGCUUAGACGGGUAGCUGGUCUGAGAGGAUGAUCAGCCACACUGGGACUGCGACACGGCCCAGACUCCUACGGGAGGCAGCAGUGGGGAAUAUUGGGCAAUGGGCGAAAGCCUGACCCAGCCACGCCGCGUGAGUGAUGAAGGCCUUCGGGUCGUAAAGCUCUGUGGGGAGGGACGAACAAGUGCGUAUCAAAUACAUACGUGCCCUGACGGUACCUCCUUAGCAAGCACCGGCUAACCAUGUGCCAGCAGCCGCGGUAAUACAUGGGGUGCAAACGUUGCUCGGAAUUAUUGGGCGUAAAGCGCGCGUAGGCGGUUAUCUAAGUUGGAUGUGAAAGCCCUUGGCUUAACCAAGGAAGUGCAUCCGAGACUGAAUAGCUAGAGUACGAAAGAGGGUCGCGGAAUUCCCGGUGUAGAGGUGAAAUUCGUAGAUAUCGGGAGGAACACCGGCGGCGAAGGCGGCGACCUGGUUCGAGACUGACGCUGAGGCGCGAAAGCGUGGGGAGCAAACAGGAUUAGAUACCCUGGUAGUCCACGCCGUAAACGAUGGGUGCUAGAUGUUUCUGGUAUUGACCCCGGAGGCGUUGUAGCUAACGCGUUAAGCAUCCCGCCUGGGGAGUACGGCCGCAAGGCUAAAAC
rnacentral:rRNA from 1 species